rnacentral:tRNA from 1 species
GGUCCUAUAGCUCAGUUGGUUAGAGCACCUGACUCAUAAUCAGGUGGUCCUUGGUUCGAGCCCAAGUGGGACCACGA